ACGUGUCCACGUGUCCCCGAUAAGACACUUUUUUUCUUUUCUUUUCUUUUUUUUGGCUAACACUUUCUUUUCUAUUUUACCUCAUAAAUAUUGUGUCAGAUUUCAAGGUCUCUUUCCAUGUUUGUUUCAGAUUAAAAAAAUAAAUAAAAAAGCCAUGAGUUGAACUCCUUGGGAACGAAGAGGAUGAUCUGAGUUUGUUUCUGUCCCCUCCACGCGAAACCCUAAACGAUCAGCACAAAACGAUGAGCAACCGACGAUUAGCUACCGGGUAUGGUGAUUCCAGUGAUGUUGGAGCAAUAUUUGUGCACUCUCCUCCAACGAAAGCUCGAGGACCGGCUCCCUGCCAUUAUCACAGCCCACCAACAACUUCCAUUGCACCUCUCCAACUGACGCACAAUCAAAACUUUGGGUUUAUUAGAUUCAUGAAGAAGUAUUUGAAGUGCUUUAGGGGUUCUGCACCUGUAACUUGACAAUUGAGACUGACAGGCGCACUGGAUUGAAUGGAUCAGAGGGAGUCAUUACUCAUGUAUUAUUGAACGGCUAUACAUGCAGUUUUUGUUAUGUUAUUAAUUGAAAUACAAGCUGCUAGGAUUUGGAUGGUGAACAUACUGUGGUCUAUUGACGACUUUUAGUGUAUUUCAAUGAGAUGUCCUUUUGGUUAAAUGAACCAAUUUAUCAACAUCCUGAGUGUUUGCUUCCACGUCAUUUCGACUUUACUUGACACAUUUGUUCCAGA